rnacentral:rRNA from 1 species
AGUGAACGCUGGCGGUAGGCCUAACACAUGCAAGUCGAACGGCAGCACAGUAAGCGCUUGCUCUUACGGGUGGCGAGUGGCGGACGGGUGAGGAAUACAUCGGAAUCUACUUUUUCGUGGGGGAUAACGUAGGGAAACUUACGCUAAUACCGCAUAAGACCUACGGGUGAAAGCAGGGGAUCUUCGGACCUUGCGCGACUGAAUGAGCCGAUGUCGGAUUAGCUAGUUGGCGGGGUAAAGGCCCACCAAGGCGACGAUCCGUAGCUGGUCUGAGAGGAUGAUCAGCCACACUGGAACUGAGACACGGUCCAGACUCCUACGGGAGGCAGCAGUGGGGAAUAUUGGACAAUGGGCGCAAGCCUGAUCCAGCCAUACCGCGUGAGUGAAGAAGGCCUUCGGGUUGUAAAGCCCUUUUGUUGGGAAAGAAAAGCAGCAGGUUAAUACCCCGCUGUUCUGACGGUACCCAAAGAAUAAGCACCGGCUAACUUCGUG